rnacentral:rRNA from 1 species
AUUGAACGCUGGCGGCAUGCUUUACACAUGCAAGUCGAACGGUAACAGGCCUUCGGGCGCUGACGAGUGGCGAACGGGUGAGUAAUGCAUCGGAACGUGCCCAGUCGUGGGGGAUAACGCAGCGAAAGCUGUGCUAAUACCGCAUACGAUCUGCGGAUGAAAGCGGGGGACCUUCGGGCCUCGCGCGAUUGGAGCGGCCGAUGUCAGAUUAGGUAGUUGGUGGGGUAAAGGCUCACCAAGCCAACGAUCUGUAGCUGGUCUGAGAGGACGACCAGCCACACGGGGACUGAGACACGGCCCAGACUCCGACGGGGGGCAGCAGUGGGGAAUUUUGGACAAUGGGCGCAAGCCUGAUCCAGCAAUGCCGCGUGCAGGAAGAAGGCCUUCGGGUUGUAAACUGCUUUUGUACGGAGCGAAAAGGCUCCCUCUAAUACAGGGGGCUCAUGACGGUACCGUAAGAAUAAGCACCGGCUAACUACGUGCCAGCCGCCGCCGUAAUAC